rnacentral:rRNA from 1 species
UUCUGGCAUCGAUGAAGAACGCAGCGAAAUGCGAUAAGUAAUGUGAAUUGCAGAAUUCAGUGAAUCAUCGAAUCUUUGAACGCACAUUGCGCCCUCUGGUAUUCCGGAGGGCAUGCCUGUUCGAGCG